AUUCCUUUUUUGGUCUCUUUCAGUUAUAAGUAGUAGUGCCGCAGGUAACCGAUUUCAAUGGUUUACCUACUGCCUCCUGCUUAGAAUUGAAAUUUCGAUGACCGUCUU
rnacentral:pre_miRNA from 13 species